CUGCCACCGCGAGCGCAGAUGUGCGACGGAGUCCGCUGCGGUGGUGGUGAGAGUAUUGAGACGUCCAUCGCACCGCGUGCGCAAUCCGUGUUCGCGGCCCGAGAACGGGAGAGAACGCUGAGCGUUACAAC
rfam:Corynebacterium uterequi strain DSM 45634, complete genome.